GGGCUGGCGGCGGCUGGGGGAUGCCAGCCGGGCGGGCCGCGGGUCGCCUCCCUUUAUAGGCUCCGAGAGCGGGGCGGGGUUGGGGGCGGGCGGGGAGCUGCCUCGGGUGGCCUCGCCCCCAGCACGGAGGACCCUCCCCGCGAGGCGCCGCCGCCCUGGAGCCCCGCCCACGGCGCUCGACGGCCGGGGAAACUGCGGGAGCUGGGCGCUCAGUGGGGGAAAACGAGCCGCGGACGCGAAGGGGCGGGAUGAGGCCCCCGGGGCGGGGCUCGGGGCUCGGGGCUGCGUGAUACCUGGAGGGGUCUGUGAAGGGACAUUGCGCAAGGUUUGAAAUUUAGGGACGAAUAGCUCUGGCGAUUCAUGGAGUGGGGCACGGGACCAUCCCCCAGGCUGUUACCAUGGCUGCCAGGCGGUAGGAGAGGCGGGAAUGGCCCAGCCGAAGUCUCUGUCGUCAGUGGUGCCCGAAUAAGAAGUGAGAGGAGGAAGUGGAAGGCAGCGUCUGGUGUCUAAAGAGCGGCUAGCCACCACAGGGCGUCAGCAGCACAGGCUGGGGACUCCAUGUCCCAACACCCAUCGGCCAAGAAGCAGAGGCGGCAAUGCGGUGCCCUUGUCUGUCCCCUCCCUCCUCCCCCAGUCUUCCCAAAUCUGUUAUGCCUUCACAGUUAACAUUUAUUGAGCACUUAGCAUGUGCUAUGC
rnacentral:lncRNA from 10 species